CGGGCUAUAGCGCAGUUGGUAGCGCGCUUCGUUCGGGACGAAGAGGUCGUGGGUUCGAAUCCCACUAGCCCGA
rnacentral:tRNA from 1 species